UCAGGACAGUAGAUCUCCAGGAAGAGGGUUGGGCAGCCCUGCUCUAAGCGCAAGGCUAUCUGCCACCCCAUUGCUCUAACUGCUAGGCUACCUGCCACCCUAACUCUCAAACCGCAAGGUACCUGCCACCCCAUUGCGCUAAGCGCUAGGCUACCUGCCACCCCAUUGCGCUAAGCGCUAGGCUACCUGCCACCCCAUUUCUGGCUGAUAGGAUUAACUAUGUGCCGCAGCUGGCCCACAAGUAUUCAGGAGUACGUUCCCUGGAGUCAUCCACCAGAUCUGAUGUAGAGUACAACAAAGUGCAGACCGGUGAGAUAUCUGUCGAUACGGUGUCUGCAUGUCUCAGGAAGAAAUUCCCAAAAGCCAUUGUUGCAAGGAUUCUUGGGGAGGAUUCUGAUGACAAAAUAAAGACAUAUACAACCGGUGCCGUGUUGUAAAGAAAAGUAGCUUGGACCCCCCCCGCCUCUGUUCAACGGAGUCCCACUCAGUGCUGAAGAGAGAGUCUCCAGCUCAUCUGGGUCUGACACCCUGCAGCUCAUCAUGGACACCACCAUUUCUCCCAGAGAGCUGUCUGUAUGGGCCAGCUGUCUCAAAGGGCAGAUAUGGUGACACAUCUGAUGGACCAGGCCAACGUGGUACCACGCAUCAACCCUCUAAUUCUCAGCAUAGACAGAACAUAUCUGGA